GCCGAAACUCGGCGGCGCUGCUGCAGGGUGUUUCGAAAAACGCCUCCGAUGAAGUCCUUCCCCAUUCCUGUUCGAUGUAUUUUUUCACUGUUGUGAUCAUCGUUUCCUUCUCUAUAGGUUGAGUGAAGCAAAACACCCAACCGCAACGUGAGUUGGAGGAGCCGCCGCACCGGAGAGCCCCACCGCUGGUGAGUUUCAGUUUUCUAAGUUUUUUCGGCCAACAAGGGACCUAAGUGUGUUUUCUCGUAGGAACCGAUGCAAGUUUGGCUAAAUUCGACUGAAAACGGCCGAAAACAGCCAACCCGAGGCGGGUCGCCGCUGCGGGCGGCAGCACGUCGCCAGAGCACGGUGGAGCUGCCAUGUCGAAUUUUUGAAAUUGGACGAGUAGCCCCUGGGACUGAUUUUGGGUUUAUUUGGGACAUUUAUAGGUACCGUAAGCGCGUUCCAGUUCCCGAAGGAAAAUUCAAGGAAUUUAGGGACCACCUGUAGGCGCAGUAACCAUUUAGUUUUCGGCGUCAAAUUAAAUAAGAACCAUUCACCCUAUUUCCUAUCAUAGAUGUGAAGUUUGAAUAAAUAAUAAUACGGUUUUUUGU
rnacentral:lncRNA from 1 species